ensembl:lncRNA
GGCAGGCUAGAGUUUGUGGAAGAUAGGGGUAUCUGAUUACUUCCAUACGGAUGAUGAGAAAGGAGUUUAGCGUUAACCUUCAGGUAGCCAGAAUUCCUAUUCCGGCCAUUGGAAUAAAGGUUCCUAUGCAUCACCAACCCUAAAGCAGUAUGAGAAAACUACCAGCCAACUACACUGAGAAGAUCUAGGAACUGCAGGUGAUGAAGACACAACCAACUCUUAACCAGCUGGGCAUUCCACCACACCACUCCUGUCAUUCAUUAUGAUGUCAUGAGGAUGACUGCCAUCCACAUCAGACCCCACAGACCUGGCAGUCCCCAGGAUCUCUUUAAUAGUUCCAGAGUAUUCUGUAGCUAAAGAUUGGUGUUACAUCUGCUGGGCAAUGUGGAUGACCUCAUCAAAAGUGAUGUUUCCACUGUGCUUACUAUUUUUCUGCUUCUUUCUGUCUUUUGGUUGCUCCUUAGAGGCUCUGAUGAUCAGGAUAGACACAGAAAGUAUCACCUCAAUCUGGGCCUGUCUGUUCUGAACGAUUGGUUUCACUGGAGUCCUCAGACCCUUCCAAUCACCAGCGCCUUUGCAAUGUUAUCACCAACCUCUUUUGGAGACAGACCCAGGGGGCCGAGCUUGGGGGCCAGGACAGACGUGGCACAGACUUCCCCACGGGCGCCCCUCAGGUAUAUAACUAUGUCUCCUUAGUGUCUAACUUAGGCGACAUGGUGAGGCCGCUGGUGUCAGAUAAACCUGGAUUGCAGAGGAUUGAAGAAAACUGCACCUCAGCCUCCUUCCAGCUGAAAUCUGAACUAAAGCCAUUUAAAUUAUUGUUAGUGCUCUAGCAGCUGACACUUUUGUUCUCCAGUCAUCAUAGUCAUUCCCUUUCUCAGCACGCACACAGGCUUCUAAUUUUCCAUGUUUUGUGCAACUGAAGUCAACGCACCACAGUAUGACGUGGAAUUUGUGAGAAGAAAGACUUUCUUAUGUUAAAUGGGAAAAUGGAAAUUGUUAAAAAAAAAAGGGGGGGGGAGGGGUAUGGAAAAGCGAUUGAAAGCAUAUUUUCAGCACAUAAAUUUUAGGAACGUGUAAGAAUGAAAGCUGAGGGACUUCCCUGGUGGUCCAGUGGCUAAGACUCUGUGCUCCCAAGCAGGGGUCCCGGCUUCAGUUCCUGGUCAGGGACCUAGAAUCCGCAUCCCACAGACCUGGAGCAGCAGAUAAAUAAAUAU